UACGUAGGGUGCAAGCGUUGUUCGGAAUUACUGGGCGUAAAGCGCGUGUAGGCGGCCAGGUAAGUUUGGUGUGAAAUCCCGGGGCUUAACCCCGGAAGUGCAUUGAAUACUGCCUGGCUAGAGGGUGAGAGAGGAAGGUGGAAUUCCUGGUGUAGGGGUGAAAUCCGUAGAUAUCAGGAGGAACAUCGGAAGCGAAGGCGGCCUUCUGGCUCAUUUCUGACGCUGAGACGCGAAAGCGUGGGUAGCAAACAGG
rnacentral:rRNA from 1 species